rnacentral:rRNA from 1 species
AAAACUUUCAACAACGGAUCUCUUGGUUCUGGCAUCGAUGAAGAACGCAGCGAAAUGCGAUAAGUAAUGUGAAUUGCAGAAUUCAGUGAAUCAUAGAAUCUUUGAACGCACAUUGCGCCCUUUGGUAUUCCGAGGGGCAUGCCUGUUCGAGCGUCAUUAC